UAAUACGUAGGAUCCUAGCGUUGUCCGGAUUUACUGGGUGUAAAGGGUGCGCAGGCGGGCUUAUAAGUCAGUGGUGAAAUCUCGGCGCUCAACGCCGAAACUGCCUUUGAUACUAUAAGUCUUGAGUUUGGUAGAGAUCCGUGGAAUUCCGAGUGUAGCAGUGAAAUGUGUAGAUAUUCGGAAGAACACCAGCGGCGAAGGCAGCGGAUUGGGCCAAUACUGACGCUCAGGCACGAAAGCAUGGGGAUCAAACAGGAUUAGAUACCCUGGUAGUCCAUGCCCUAAACGAUGUACACUUGAUGUCGGUCUUUAACGGGUCGAUGUCGGAGCUAACGUGUUAAGUGUACCACCUGGGGAGUACGCUCGCAAGGGUG
rnacentral:rRNA from 1 species